rnacentral:rRNA from 1 species
GAUGAACGCUGGCGGCGUGCCUAAUACAUGCAAGUCGAGCGAACAGAUGAGGAGCUUGCUCCUCUGACGUUAGCGGCGGACGGGUGAGUAACACGUGGGUAACCUACCUAUAAGACUGGAAUAACUUCGGGAAACCGGGGCUAAUACCGGAUAAUAUAUUGAACCGCAUGGUUCAACAGUGAAAGACGGAUUUGCUGUCACUUAUAGAUGGACCCGCGCCGCAUUAGCUAGUUGGUAAGGUAACGGCUUACCAAGGCAACGAUGCGUAGCCGACCUGAGGGGGUGAUCGGCCACACUGGAACUGAGACACGGUCCAGACUCCUACGGGAGGCAGCAGUAGGGAAUCUUCCGCAAUGGGCGAAAGCCUGACGGAGCAACGCCGCGUGAGUGAUGAAGGUCUUCGGAUCGUAAAACUCUGUUAUUAGGGAAGAACAAAUGUGUAAGUAACUAUGCACGUCUUGACGGUACCUAAUCAGAAAGCCACGGCUAACUACGUG